rnacentral:rRNA from 1 species
GAUGAACGCUAGCGACAGGCUUAACACAUGCAAGUCGAGGGGCAUCGGGGCGUAGCAAUACGCUGCCGGCGACCGGCGGAUGGGUGAGUAACGCGUAUGCAACCUGCCUUCAGCAGGGGGAUAGCCCGUUGAAAGACGGAUUAAUACCCCGUAACACAGGGGCUCCGCAUGGAGAUUAUUGUUAAAGGGAUACUUCCUUCGGGGGGUAUUCCGGCUGAAGAUGGGCAUGCGUUCCAUUAGGUAGUUGGUUGAGGUAACGGCUCACCAAGCCUACGAUGGAUAGGGGAACUGAGAGGUUGGUCCCCCACACUGGUACUGAGACACGGACCAGACUCCUACGGGAGGCAGCAGUGAGGAAUCUUGGUCAAUGGACGGAAGUCUGAACCAGCCAUGUCGCGUGAAGGAGGACGGCCCUAAGGGUUGUAAACUUCUUUUGCAGCGGAAUAAAGUAUUCCACGAGAUGGGAUAUUGCAAGUACGCUGCGAAUAAGGAUCGGCUAACUCCGUG